GAGAAAAAUUGGGAGAGAAAAAAAUCUUAACAAGAGGAAUUAGCGAUACAAAAUGGUGACACAUGGACAAGCCAUUUUAAAACACUCUACAACACCGUUCAAAUUGACACAAACUCAGAACAACCCCAAAUUCAUGAGAAGUUGAAUGGAUUACAAAAAGCUAUAAAGGACAAUCAAAAUCCAUUGGACUCCCCAAUUACUGACCAGGAGCUCUAUAAGAAACUUCAGGCCCUCAAAUUUAAAAAAGCAUGCCUACCUGAUGGCAUCCUAAAUGAGAUGCUCAAACUCACUAGUGCAAAAUUUCAAUUGGCUAUAUUAAAACUGUUUAAUUUGAUCCUGAGUGUAGGUUAUUUCCCUGACAUCUGGAAUCAAGGACUCAUAACCCCAAUCUUUAAAAACGGAGACAAAUUUGACCCUAACAAUUACAGAGGCAUUUGCGUGAACAGUAACCUGGGGAAGGUUUUCUGUAGUAUUAUAAAUGUAAGAGUUCUAAACUUCCUUAAUAAGCACAAUGUCUUGAAUAAAAGCCAAAUUGGAUUUAUACCAAAACAUCGCACGACUGAUCAUAUUUACACCCUACACACCCUGAUAGAUAAACAUGUCCACCAAAAUAAUUCCAAAAUAUACGCUUGCUUUAUCGACUUCCAAAAAUCAUUUGAUUCUAUUUGGCAUACAGGAUUGUUUGUCACGAUCGUCUUUGGGUGAGAGAGAGGACCAAGGCGCAGCGUGUGGAAAAUACAUCUUCUCUUUAUUUAGAAGAAGAAAAAACAAAACAAAACAACGAACGUGAAGCUAUAAACGACUAAGUGCAAACAUGCAACAUAGACACAGACACGGAAGACAAUCACCCACAAACAAACAGUGUGAACAGCCAAACUAUAUAUGGUUCUCAAUCAGAGGAAAACGUCAAACACCUGUCCCUGAUUGAGAACCAUAUAAGGCUAAUUACAAGUGACCUAAACAUAGAAACACAAAACAUAGAAUGCCUACCCCAACUCACGCCCUGACCAACUAAACACAUACAAAAAUAACAUAAAACAGGUCAGGAACGUGACACUGUUCUACAAAGUUAUUGAAAGUGGUUUAAGGGGUAAAACAUAUGACAUAAUAAAUCAACGUAUACUGGCAAUACGUGCAGCAUUAAAAUUGGCAAGAAAAUAACUGAAUUCUUUAACCAGGGGCGGGGCCUUCGUCAGGGUUGUAAUCUGAGACCUGCACUCUUCAAUAUUUACAUCAAUGAAUUGGCCCCUAUUCUAGAAAAAUCCUCAGCCCCUGGUGUUAGUCUCCACAAUUCAGAGGUUAAAUGCCUACUUUUCGCAGAUGACCUAUGCCUGCUGUCACCCACAGCACAUGGCCUACAGCAGAGCCCGGACCUGCUAGAGCAGUCCUGCCAGACCUUGUCCCUGUCAGUAAACCCCAAAAAGACUAAAAUAAUGGUUUUCCAGAGAAGAUCCAGAUCUCAGGGAAUUAGACCAAAGUUCUCAAUUGGUACAAAAUCUAUAGAGUACUGCACACACUACAAUUACUUAGGUUUAAAAAUAAGCUCAACUGGACACCUUAAUGAGGCAGUGAAUGAGCUGAGAGAGAAAGCACGCAGGGCAUUCUACGCCAUUAAAAAGCUAAUUCAAAUUGGAAUACCUAUUCAAAUUUGGCUAAAACGAAUGAAAUAUGUCAUUGAACCAAUUGCACUUUAUGGCAGCAAGGUGUGGUUUCCACUUGCAAAACAAGAUUUCAUCAAAUGGGACAAACACCCCAUUGAAACACUGCAUGCAGAGUUCUGUAAGAUUCUCCUACAUGUCCAGAGGAAAACUACAAACAAUGCAUGCAGGGCAGAAUUAGGCCAAUAUCCACUAAUAAUAAAAACUCAAAAAAGAGUAAUUAAGUUUUGGAAACAUCUAAAACACAGUGACCCCCUCUCAUAUCAUUACCAAGUCCUGCAAUGCCAAGAGCUGAGCAAAGAAAAGAGUCCCCUCAUCCAGCUGGUAAGGGGCUGAGUUCACAAACCUGUUCUACUAACACACUGAAGCCUCAGGACCAGAACAUCCAAUCAAUCAGAAUAAACCAAAUUACAACACAGUCAAAAAAACUAUAUUGCUUAUUGGGAAACACAAGCACAAACACAAAGCAAAAUGCAGUGCUAUCUGGCCCUGAAUCGACAGUACACCGUGGCUAAAUAUUUGACCAUGGUUACUGAUCAAAACCUUAGAAUAACCUUGACAAAGUACAGGCUCAGUGAGCACAGCCUUGCCAUUGAGAAGGGUAGACACAGGAAAACCUGGCUCCCUGUAGAGGAAAGGCUGUGCAACCACUGCACAACAGCAGAACCUGAGACGGAGCUGCAUUUCCUGACAAAAUGGAAAAAAUAUAAAACAAUUAGAGAGUGUCAUUUCCACAAAUUUGAAACCCAAAGGGAGAGAGGAGGGCAGAGAGGGGACGUUCACUGAGCCGGAUCUUCUGUCAACUCUCCAGUCUUUACUGUGGAGGUAGAGUUUAAGCUCAGGAAAAGGGUUAAAAAGGCCUUUGCCAUUAGUUUAACUGCCAUGCCUGUUUUGUUCUGACCGUAAACUAUGUCCUGAAUUAGAUAACUGCAUUAUUUCUGAGUUGCUGUGUCAUUGUCGACCUUGGUCAUUUGUCAUCAUUGUACUAAAUCCUCACGUCUCACCUUUUAACGACUGUCUCCUUUUGACAUGUUGGUGAUACCUCAAUUAGAGCGCCUGAAAUGAAACCUUAAAAGAUGAGUUGCCCCACUUAAAAUACUUAGUUGUAUCAACUAAUGUGAUAUAUUUAAAGUUUUGUCAUAUCAACUUGAUUUCCUGAGUUUAAGGCUGUGGUCUAACCAAUGGAUGUAUCUUAUUGGGUGCAUCUUAUCUUUUAAAAUGUAUACUGUAAAUAUUAAAAAUAUUUUUAUAGUGAUCAUUGUCAUAACCAGUAAGGACAAGUAUUGUGUCCAGCAUGAACAGCUAUUUGUUUGGUUCAUAUACAGUAGCUGCCAUUACAUGAAGUGUCAACCAACAUGUAUUUUGUUGACGUUCAAACAAACAGCUCAGCAGUCUUUAUGGGAGUGCCAUUGUUUUUCAAUUCUCGGGUCGACUCUCUUCUCUGUAUACAUCAAUGAUGUCGCUCUUGCUGCUGGUGAUUCUAUGAUCCACGUCUACGCAGACAACACCAUUCUGUAUACCUCUGGCACUUCUUUUGACACUGUGUUAACUAACCUCCAGACAAGCUUCAAUGCCAUACAACUCUCCUUCCGUGGCCUCCAACUGCUCUUAAAUACAAGUAAAACUAAAUACAUGUUAUUCACCCGAUCGCUGCCCACACCCGCCCGCCCAUCCAGCAUCACUACUCUGGACGGUUCUGACUUAGAAUAUGUGGACAACUACAAAUACCUAGGUGUCUGGUAAGACUGUAAGCUCUCCUUCCAGACUCACAUUAAGCAUCUCCAAUCCAAAAUUAAAUCUAGAAUCGGCUUCCUAUUUCGCAACAAAGCCUCCUUCACUCAUGCUGUAUAACAUAACCUCGUAAAACUGACUAUCCUACCGAUCCUCGACUUUGGCGAUGUCAUUUUGCAAAAUAGCCUCCAAUACUCUACACAACAAAUUGGAUGCAGUCUAUCACAGUGCCAUCCGUUUUGUCACCAAAGCCCCAUAUACUACCCACCACUGCGACCUGUGCGCUCUCGUUGGCUGGCCCUCUCGUUGGCUGGCCGCCAAACCCACUGGCUCCAGUCUCUGCUAGGUAAAGCCUCACCUUAUCUCAGCUCACUGGUCACCAUAGCAGCACCCACCCGUAGCACGCGCUCCAGCAGGUAUAUCUCACUGGUCACCCCCAAAGCCAAUUCUUCCUUUGGCCGCCUUUCUUUCCAGUUCUCUGCUGCCAAUGACAGGAACGAACUGCAAAAAUCACUGAAGCUGGAGACUCAUAUCUCCCUCUCUAACUUUAAGCACCAGCUGUCAGAUCACUGCACCUGUACAUAGCCCAUCUGUAAAUUUACCCAUCCAACUACCCCAUCCCCAUACUGUAUUUAUUUAUCUUGCUCUUUUGCACCCCAGUAUCUCUACUUGCACAUUCAUCUUCUGCACAUAUACCAUUCCAGUGUUUAAUUGCUAUAUUGUAAUUAUUUCGCCACCAUGGCCUAUUUAUUGCCUUUACCUCCCUUAUCCUACCUAAUUUGCACACACUGUAUAUAGACUUUUUCUACUGUAUUAUUGAUUGUAUGUUUGUUUACUCCAUGUGUAACUCUGUGUUGUUGUACGUGUUGAACUGCUUUGCUUAAUCUUGGCCAGGUCGCAGUUGUAUAUGACAACUUGUUCUCAACUAGCCUACCUGGUUAAAUAAACGUGAAAUAAAAAAAAAUCACCAAUCAGCAUAGUCUUUGCUUGUGUGUAUCCAUUACGUGCUUAACCAAUUAAAUGAAUGCUAUUAUUAAGAGGUAUUAUGUAUUUGCAUGCAUACAUGAAUGAAUGACUGCCAUGGGGCAUGCCAAUGAAUAGAUGUUCACCAACUGAAUAAAUCCAAAAAGCCAUCACAUUGCAUUUCGACUAGAAUUACAGUAUACAUAGCACCUCUGCACAACAAAACCUCUAUCACCUAUCAAUCAAAGGAGAUGGAGCUUUAGCAUGUCAUGAUUUCAUUUCAGUCCAACCUUAUUCGUGUAUCUUUCAUUUCUAAUACUCAUCAUCACGCAGUUAUAAUGACUUUCGGACUCUUGAGGAAUAGAACAUGCAAAGCGAAAUGAAAUAAGGCUUCUGUCUUGUACCCGUCUUCAUUUCUCCUGGGACUUGCAGUUGGAUUACGAAGCGGGAUCUCCCGAAAGCUCCUUCUCGGGACGGCAUAAGCAGCAAGCUGAAGCUGACGCGCAGCUGGGUCAUGCCGCAAGACUACUUGCAGGGAGUCUUCUGAAAUCGGUGGAGGAGGAGCUAAACCAGAGG